rnacentral:rRNA from 1 species
UUGAGGCGUGGCUUCCGGAGCUAACGCGUUAAAUCGACCGCCUGGGGAGUACGGCCGCAAGGUUAAAACUCAAAUGAAUUGACGGGGGCCCGCACAAGCGGUGGAGCAUGUGGUUUAAUUCGAUGCAGCGAAGAACCUUACCUGGUCUUGACAUCCACAGAACUUUCCAGAGAUGCAUUGGUGCCUUCGGGAACUGUGAGACAGGUGCUGCAUGGCUGUCGUCAGCUCGUGUUGUGAAAUGUUGGGUUAAGUCCCAACGAGCGCAACCCUUAUCCUUUGUUGCCAGCGGUUAGGCCGGGAACUCAAAGGAGACUGCCAGUGAUAAACUGGAGGAAGGUGGGGAUGACGUCAAGUCAUCAUGGCCCUUACGACCAGGGCUCAACGUGCUACAAUGGCGCAUACAAAGAGAAGCGACCUCGCGAGAGCAAGCGGACCUCAUAAAGUGCGUCGUAGUCCGGAUUGGAGUCUGCAACUCGACUCCAUGAAGUCGGAAUCGCUAGUAAUCUAGUCAGAAUGCUACGGUGAAUACGUUCCCGGGCCUUGUACACACCGCCCGUCACACCAUGGGAGUGGGUUGCAAAAGAAGUAGGUAGCUUAACCUUCGGGAGGGCGCUUACCACUUUGUGAUUCAGACUGGGUGAAGUCGUAACAAGGUAACCG